GCCUAUUGUUUUCAGUGGAACCUAGGCAUAGUAUUUAUACAUAGGUAGCUGUAUAAAUACUAUGCCUAGGUUCCACUGAAAACAAUAGGCUUUAAUG